UUACGGCCAUAUCAGGUUUAAACAUCGGUUCCCGUACAAUCAACGAAGUUAUGCAAAGUCGAACCUGGUUGUUACCUAGAUGGACGAUCGCUUGGGAAUAGCAGGUGCUGUAAGC